GUGGGCGGGCGCGGUUGUCAUAUAAGGGCAUGGCGUGCUGUUGCUAGGUGACGGGAGCGCGGCCUUCAAUUUCUGGCCAUUUUUCCAUGGAAAAAUCACCUUUUUCUGUUGAUACAGGGCUCCCCUCGCCUCUCCGUGCCCCUUCUGGACUUUCCGCUCUUUAUUUGUGGCCUUAGCAGCAGCUGUUCCACGCCUGUGCCUCUCCUGCUGCAGGCCAGGAAUAGGGAGAGAUGGGAAAAAAGUUGAGGGAAAAGAGAAUGCUUUAGAUAAUUGCUGGGAAAUUGGCGCCACAGGGAACCUGCACCAAGGCCACCCCCAGCCAAAAAGAACCCGAAAAAGGCAUGGAUUGCUCAGAGCUGGCAGGAAUGCUGAGCCUUGCACAAGGAGCUGCUUCCCAGCCCAGAGCUGGGCUCUCCCUGGGCCCGCCCCAGUGGUGGGGAGCAGGAUGGGGCCAUGGGCAAAGGCAACUUCAAAAUCCCUUGUCCCUGCAAAGCUCUGCUCCGUGGAAUGGUGAGCUCCCAGAUGUUGAUGGCAAGGAAAACUGGGUUUAUUAAUUAAAAAACCAUAAAUGAA